AUGAUCCAUGCGAGUGGGAGCACAGACUACAAAGAUUCACUGAAGAGCAAGUUCAGCAUCUCCAGAGACACGUCCAGCAGCACUGUUUUUCUAAACGGACAGAAUCUGAAGGCUGAAGACACAGCUGUAGUAAUCUUGAACUGGAUUGUUCUACUCUUGCUGGCCUGUGUACAGUAUGUUCAUGGAAUCAGUCUGAGCUCGUCUCCUGCUCAGUUGAAGCCUCCUGGAGGAUCAGUGAGGCUGUCCUGUGAGGUUUCUGGCUAUCGUCUCUCUGACUACGGUACAGUCUGGAUCAGACAGCCUCCAGGGAAAGCCAUGGAGUGGAUCGGGAUCAUGUGGGGUAGUGGAUCUAUAGACACCGCAGCUUCCUUUAAGAGUCGCUUCAAAAUUUCCAGAGACACAAGCAGUAAUGUGCUGUUCUUAGACAUCAGCAGCCUGGAGACUGGAGACACGGCUGUUUAUUACUGUGCAAGAAGAGACACAGCAGUGCAGCUCUGUACAAAAACCCUUCUGUAG